CUACGGGUGGCUGCAGUGGGGAAUAUUGCACAAUGGAGGAAACUCUGAUGCAGCAACGCCGCGUGGAGGAUGACACUUUUCGGAGCGUAAACUCCUUUUAUAUAGGAAGAAGAUGACGGUACUAUAUGAAUAAGCGCCGGCUAAACUCCGUGCCAGCAGCCGCGGUAAUACGGAGGGCGCAAGCGUUACUCGGAAUCACUGGGCGUAAAGAGCGUGUAGGCGGAUUAAAAAGUCAGAAGUGAAAUCCUAUAGCUUAACUAUAGAACUGCUUCUGAAACUCUUAAUCUAGAAUAUGGGAGAGGUAGAUGGAAUUUCUGGUGUAGGGGUAAAAUCCGUAGAGAUCAGAAGGAAUACCGAUUGCGAAGGCGAUCUACUAGAACAUUAUUGACGCUGAGACGCGAAAGCGUGGGGAGCAAACAGGAUUAGAUACCCGCGUAGUC
rnacentral:rRNA from 1 species